rnacentral:tRNA from 1 species
GCCGGGGUGGCGGAAUUGGCAGACGCACGGGACUUAAAAUCCCGGGGGCCUCACGGCCCGUGAGGGUUCGAUUCCCUCCCUCGGCACCA